AUCAGAGAAUUGAGACCACAUGAAGGUACACUGGGAUCCCCUUGAUUACAGGCUGGACCUGUUGUGAAUCCCAGCCACGUGAGUCAGCUUCCUCCGAGCGUCUAAGUGAAAAUCCGCACCAGAUGCAUGAACACUCUCAGCUUUUGAUACACGACCACUGUUACACUUAGGUCAGUGACAAUCCUAAAAUGUAAUGGGUCCUAGUUCUUAUAAAGAAAACGAACCCAUCAGAUAGCUUAAACAGUUAGGAUAAUUUAAGUAAUUUCUUAAUUUCUCGUGAAAUCUGCAGAUAAAUAUGCCCUUCACUGACAUGAUGACAAGGUCCCAGUUUGAAGGAACUGAAUCUUAGAGCCUGGUUUUUAGAAACAGUAGAUCUACCAGCCUCAGCCCGUGACCUGUGCUAACCACACUGAAUUUUACUUUAAGACAGGCAAAGCGUUCAGCAGCUGUUUUCUUUCCUAUCAACGAUUACAGAGGUAAUUACCACUGCCUAAGAAUCUAUACAAUACACUAAGUCUCUGACUUAUGAACAAGUUCCGUUCCGGGAGAACAUUUGUCAGUCAGAUUCCUUUGUAAGUCCAACACAGUGAGUCCUUCACACCCUUGACACAAAUAUACAAUGUAUACUGCUGUGCGCUUCCUAGCAGUCACAUCACCACAGCUUUUCCUCUGGCUUCCAGACAUCCUGGGCUCCGACUGAGCACUGUGCUAUUGCACUGUACAGUAAGCACAUAGCAGCGCAGCGGUGACAACGUCUGGCAGACACAUGGGCUCCUUCCAUGAUCCGGUCACAUCUACAAAUGUUUGUAAUGCAAGGACUUGAACUCAGGACCUUGUGCUCUCCACAUGGGCACUGUUUCACGAGCUACAUCCCCAACCUGGAUCCCCUCAUUUUACAGACAAGGAAACUGAAGACAGCUCAGCAACCUAUGUGACUUGUCCAUGUCAGCGUGGGUUACCGGCAGCUCUACUGGGGCCGCCCCAGGAGACUGGCCAGGGCUCUCACUCUUCCCUAUGUGCUCAACCGACCUGGGCUGAUCCGGAAAUACAGCCUCAGCAUGAGCCACCGGUGUUUCCGUCGGAACAGGAAGAUCAGUUUCAUCACAGUGGACUAAGUGAUCUUCCUUCCAUGGAUUAUCCAGGACAUGCACUCAAUGAAAGAGAUACACUAACUCUUUGUACAUAAAAUAAAAAAAUUUUAAAGCUUUCAAAAAAUAUGAAUACAGUAUGGAUUCUUGUUAAUGUAUGAAUAUUACCUUAUUAAUCAAAACACUCAAAGUAAUUCAAGAUAUAGUAAAAAGUGGAUGUGACUGUAAGAUAAAUGGGAAUUCUGUACAAUCUUCACAAUUUUUCUAUAAAUCUGAAAACAAUC